UGGGGAAUCUUGCACAAUGGGGGCAACCCUGAUGCAGCGACGCCGCGUGAGCGAUGAAGCCCUUCGGGGCGUAAAGCUCUUUCGACCGGAACGAUAAUGACGGUACCGGGAGAAGAAGCUGCGGCUAACUACGUGCCAGCAGCCGCGGUAAUACGUAGGCAGCAAGCGUUGUUCGGAGUUAUUGGGCGUAAAGAGUGCGUAGGCGGUUUUCUAAGUUCGGUGUGAAAUCUCCCGGCUUAACUGGGAGGGUGCGCCGUAGACUGGGAAGCUGGAGUGUGGGAAAGGCAGGCGGAAUUCCUGGUGUAGCGGUGAAUGCGUAGAUAUCAGGAGGAACACCGGCGGUGUAGACGGCUUGCUAAACCAUAACUGACGCUGAGGCACGAAAGCGUGGGUAGCAAACA
rnacentral:rRNA from 1 species